rnacentral:rRNA from 1 species
CCUACGGGUGGCAGCAGUGAGGAAUAUUGGUCAAUGGGCGAGAGCCUGAACCAGCCAAGUCGCGUGAGGGAAGACGGUCCUAUGGAUUGUAAACCUCUUUUACCGGGGAGCAAAAAGCGGUACGUGUACCGCAUCGAGAGUACCCGGAGAAAAAGCAUCGGCUAACUCCGUGCCAGCAGCCGCGGUAAUACGGAGGAUGCGAGCGUUAUCCGGAUUUAUUGGGUUUAAAGGGUGCGCAGGCGGCGAGUUAAGUCAGCGGUAAAAUUUCGGGGCUCAACCCCGACAAGCCGUUGAAACUGGCUUGCUAGAGUGGGCGAGAAGUAUGCGGAAUGCGUGGUGUAGCGGUGAAAUGCAUAGAUAUCACGCAGAACUCCGAUUGCGAAGGCAGCGUACCGGCUCCACACUGACGCUGAGGCACGAAAGCGUGGGUAUCGAACAGGAUUAGAUACCCCAGUAGUC